rnacentral:lncRNA from 1 species
GUCCCAGUAGAGAACGUGCCCCAGCUCAUCAGCAGAGCGGUACUUGUGUGAAGUACUUACAGGGAGACGUGGGGGCGCAGGUGGGGUCGGGACCUGAACUCCAGCUCCGGUUUCUGCCUCACGGCGCUUGGACUCGACGCCAGUCGCUUUGCUUCUGGGUCCUGUCUGUGUAGCUACAAGGAUCUAGCUCUGCAGUAUUCACUGUACCUUGUAGCAGGCACUAAAGCUCUUGCGUGCAGCAACUCAUUUCAUCCUGUGGUCGCCAUGAGAGGCAAGUGUUUAUUAUUAUCUAUUUAAGAUGAGGAAACACAGAGCAAGAAACUUAUGCAGGGCCAGCCAGGAAAACCCGAAGCCAGGGUUCUGUCCCCAGCACUCGGUCCUGUGAGAGUCACCCCCGUGUCUGCUCCUCCGGCUCCAGCACUGUGCCUUGCUCGUAGCCGGAUCUCAGACUCAGUUUGUUGACAGUGACAGGUAGAGGCGGCCUGCAGUUAUCAAGUGACUGCCAGUGUGUUUCAGCCUUAAAAGGAGCCUUGAAGAUGACUAGAAAAUUGUUCUCUUUGCCUCUGCUUCCUAGUGGAAUUCUGCCCAGCUGGUUAGAAAGAAAGGAAGACCAGACCUAAAGAUCACGGGCCAGGCCGAGAUUGUGGCUUCUUCCAGAAAACGUGUCUAUCAGUAUGAGGAACCUGGAAAACUCAGAACUGGUCACCUCAGCGUCAAAUCCAUCGACCUAGUAAACCAGCAGCCAGUUCGCAAGCGUCCACCUUGUGGGUCUGGGUGCACAGUGCUUCGGGCACUGAGGACAGGGCACGCAGAGAGGGUCUUCAGAACCCGCUGCUGUGUGAACCAUGGAAUGAAUAGUUCACAAUGAUUUAAAAGGUGCAAGAAAAUGCAGACGCUGACUAGAACGUCCUUUUCCUUUUACCUUUUUUUUUUGUUUUGGAGACAGGGUGCUGCUAGAGCUGCCCAGGUUGGCCUCGAACUUGGGAGCUCCCUGCCUUAGCCUCUGAGUAGCUGGGAUUACAAGCCCUGAAUGUCACUUUUUGAGAUGGUAGUUUACACACAUUAUAAAACUGAAUUCUCUUUAAUAAGCUAAAAAUAAGAUGAGGCUGUCGUGAUUUUCUUUGUUGGCAAGGUGUGCUCACUUCUGUGCACUGCGUGCAGGGCCUGAGCCCGUGGAGGGGACAGUGUGUAAAUAUUGUCUGCA